CCGUUCACUCUUCUCGUCAGUCGAUGAUUGAAAUUCGAAUGACUGAACAGUGCGCGAGA
rnacentral:pre_miRNA from 1 species